rnacentral:rRNA from 1 species
GACGAACGCUGGCGGCGUGCUUAACACAUGCAAGUCGAACGAAGUGGCGAACGGGUGAGUAACGCGUAAUCAACCUGCCCUUCAGAGGGGGACAACAGUUGGAAACGACUGCUAAUACCGCAUACUGAAGGUGGGGAUUGCGGCUGGUUAGCUAGUUGGAGGGGUAACGGCCCACCAAGGCGAUGAUCAGUAGCCGGGCUGGUGGGAGGAACGGCCACAUUUGGAAUGGGACACGGCCCAGACUCCUACGGGAGGGAGCAGUUGGGAAUCUUCCGCAAUGGACGAAAGGCUGACGAAGGAACUCCGCGUGAGUGAUGACGGGCUUCGGGUUGUAAAGCUCUGUUAAUCGGGACGCGGUACCGGAAUAGAAAGCCACGGCUAACUACGUGCCAGCAGCCGCGGUAAUUC